CCACAAUGAUUUCAUUUUAAAUUUAUACGUCCUAUGUUUUCUAUCAUAAAUUUGUGUAAAAAACGCACAUUAUUGAAAAAGCGAUAGGUACUAUUAACUAAACUCCGUUCAUAAUCGUUUUGCGUUAGCAAUAUUUAAUUGUUGCGUACAGAUAUAUAUUAAAUUUCCCUCUAUUUACUACCCUCCUAACUUUUCACCUACAACAGUGGCUCACCCUAGGUGCAAAGUAUGUCUUUCUUUUUAUUUAUAGAGGUACCUAGCUACUAAAUA